AUGCUAUCGCCCGCGAACCAGCGGCGCGCCACCAAUUGGAUCUGGAAAGCGGUGCACCGUGUCAGGGUGCUCCGGCUUCAUGUCGUCCAUGAGCAGGAACCCUCGCCACUAUCUGAUCUGCAUCUCGUUUCCCAGCACCUCACCAAGUUACAUCUUGAUGGUGUCUCUGUCAACGACAGCAUUCUUGAUUUUUCAGGCUGUCCGGCAUUGGUCGAGCUGACUAUGGAGUAUUGCGAUGUUUUUGUUAAACACCUGCUGUCUCCAUCCUUGAAACGUCUGCGCUUUGCCAGCUGCGAUAGUUCAGAGUAUACUCGCAUUCUUAUUUCUCUACCAAGUCUCGUUUCACUCGAUUUGAUUGAAUGGCAACGAGGAAGGGCCCCAUUGCUUGGAAGCUUGCCGUGGUUAGCAAGAGCCGUUGUUGAACUUGGUGAUGAUGCUGCUGAUCGAUGCUCUAAAGGUCGAUUCGAUGAUUGUGGUGCUUAUAUCUGCCAUGGUUGUCGUUAUUAUUAUCAUCAUCAUCAUGGGGAUCCUGAAUAUGGGCCUGGUUAUGACCGCAACGACAGCAUCUUUCUCAAAGGUUUGUCGGAAGCCACGGACUUGGAGUUGUCAGCUGAAUCUGACGUGAUUGUUUUCAACAGGGAUUUGAAGUGGUGCCCUACAUUUACAAAGUUAAAGACUUUGUUACUCAAUGACUGGUGUUUGGCUGCUGACCACAAUGCACUGAUUUAUUUUCUCCAGCACUCACCAGUUUUGGAGAAGCUUACUUUUCAACUUUCUAAGGCACCUCCAAAUGUGAUGAAAACAGAAGGAAUAUACAAACCAUUGGGACAGUCAGUUGCAUCCAACUGUCUUAAACUUGUUGAAAUCAGAUGUGCAGAAAUCGAUAGCCGUGUUUACAAAAUUUUGAAGACACUGACUACCUAUGGAAUAAGCCUUGAGAAAAUUAAUAUCACUAGCAGAAUUUCUAGAUCUGGAUGUUUCAGUUUUGUUUGCACCAGUUUGAAAUUAGAGGUAUGA
rnacentral:rRNA from 1 species